AAGUUUUUUUUAAUCUAUUAAUUGCAUUGAUUUAAGUAUACUUUCAUCAGAUAAAGAAACCAAUUUGUGCCGGGUCACUAGUUUUCACUGUUUUUGAUUCACGUUAGGAGCGGGUCCGGUGUUUGUGAACUUGUGCCGUGUAAACAGAAAUCUGCUCCAGAUUUACUUUGCAACCGAACAGGGUGGCGCCAAAGGGUGGAAUCAAAUACCACAAAUCAUGGCAGCUGGUGUGAAGGAUUUUAUUCAGGAGACUCAUGACCAAAGGAUUCCUGUCUACGUUGUUCCAGGUUGAUGCCAAGAUUUCGCAGCUGUCACGCAAGACCAGGAGCACCGGAAAGACUUCAUUCUUGGAUGCAAAUAUCUGGAAACACUAUGUUCAGUUGGUUUUCAUCACCAAGGGCAAAAGGGCAGGGGAUUGAGCACCAGGAUGGGUCAACCAACCAACCUAGUGACCUACUGACCUACCAACCAAUCGACCAACUUCUCAAACUGGAUGGCAAGAUGCAAAGUUGCCGUCUGGUCUGCCCACACUCGCUCUCAACUCGCCAAGAAGCCUCGGCGGCGGACGCAGGGGAAAGAUCGGACGCAGAGUCCAGCUGGUCCGACGGCGGAGUCAGCCAGCGGAACAGAUGUGCGAGGGACUUUGAUGUAGCGUCAACGAAUGAACCACUGCCGACUGAGCAAAGCGCACACGCGUAUGUGUCGGUGUGUGUGCACGGCGCCAGCCUGCCAGCGAGGGGAUUACACGGAGGACCUCCCGCAAUCAGGACACUCGUACCGCACUCCGCCGUCAAUCCUCCUCUUUCGCCGGUGUGCGCGUGUGCGUCGUCCAGACAAAUGACGAGGAGCCAGAUGUCCAGAAUGCCGACGACGCCCCGCAACCUGGACAAGAUGGCUGACAACCCGCAGGCAGAAGCUGGCAAGCUCUCAGGUGAAGGGUGCUCGGGCCUCCGGGGCGGAUGGAUUGCGGCGUGAAGAGCGAUCGGGCGUCACGGAGGCGGCGACAGAUAGCGAGUCAAGGCGCGCCAACGCGGGGAGAUCGGUCUCAACCGGACUCCAUUUGUCACGACCGACAUCAAAGAAGAGGAGGAGGAGGAGCAGCAGUGUCCUGUCCGGAAUGAGGCUCGGAUGCAAGUGCAAUGCAGAGGAAGAGGAGGAGAAGUGAGUCCCCCCCCCUCGCUCUCGCCCGCUCUCUCAUUCUCCCCUCCCUCUCUUUUGGCCUCUCACCCUCCCUUGCAGGUGUACGACAGGGAGGCAACCGAUGAGACAACUCCAACCCCCCACCAACUUCAGAGACAGUGAUUUAGUUACAUGGUCGAGAUCUCGUAUUGAUCCCUGGAGGACAACUUUGACAUCUCAGAGACCCCCCGCCCCCCACCCCACUCCCCCAUGGGCACCUCUGACCUUCAGCCACUUCCUGAAAUCGUUAAACUGGUCACUUCAUCAGGUACGCCUGCAAGGGAAUCAUGCUCUGUUAUGAUUCAUUUGGACACAUUUUAUUUUUAUUUACUUUAUCUUACAUCCAUUCGUUUACAUCGUAAAAUAUUUCAACCAAAACUAAUGAAUAGAAUCUCAUAUAAACCCUUAGAUACACCCUGUACCCUGAUAACUUGAUAAGCCGUCGUAAGCGCUGUCCCUGAAAGGGUUUGUUAAUAUAAUAUGUGUAGUUUUGUAUCGAAAAUUGUGAUGUAUUUAGUAACGUGUGGAUAAUGAUACCACCUGAAACGGACACAAAAUGCAUUCACCAGGUUGUAACAUCAGAACUGACGAAUUCCAAGGAAUGGGUUCGUGAUCACGAUCUGGAUAUAAAGUACAGAUGUUGUGAAUCUUCACAAACAGUCUUCACCUGCCGCCUUUUGGAACACCGUGCUAAUGGAAUACAGCCAUUUUGGGAGGGGGGGGGGGGGGUUGCACACAGCAUGCAUUACACGGCGCUCCGCCAGGGAAUUGAAGCACGGGCCAAGAGGGAAGAUAGGGACGGGUGACGGUGGGGGCUCAACUGCAAAUAGUUACGCCAAUCUGGAAACCAGAGAGUUCGCGCUUCCCAGUGAGAACAGAGGAGCCAGUCACACUCAUCCGCGGCGAAUGAAUAAGAUGCGUUGACGUUACAAGCCGCGAGGAUGUUAGCCAGACACGCAGAGGGGGAAGGAUGGGAUUCUCCCACCGAGCCGCCUUUACGUUGUCAAAUUCAUGGCCCGGCUCCUGUCCUCACGACUGAGCUCGGGGGUGUCGGGCCUUCAAAGAAGAUGAAAUGUAAGCCCGCCAUGAAUUAGACCCUUUUGUAGAAUGAUGAUACAAAUCGUCUUUCUCGACAUAUUUCACGUUUAUUUUCAACAGACGGCAACAUGGAUGGCGUUGGGGCCUUUUUAUUUAUGCUUUCUCAGUCUUUGAACUCUGAACCACACUCGGCUGCGGUUUUGCAGGUCAACAGUUUCACCUCCUGUAGGAAAAGUCAAGUGAACGCAUCCGUUCGUCCCUGAAAUUAUUGCCAUCAUAAAACAUUUUUUUAACUACACAGUCAUUUUUUUAAGAGACAUAUUAAUGAUUUAACAUAAGUCCCACAAAUCCGAAUUCAAUAUUUUUUGCACCCGACAAUGAUGUCUUUUCAAAAUGGCUGACAGGAAGAGCUCAGGCUUGAACAACAUCGUUUUUAAAGUAAAUCUUCAAAAUAUUUAUUUAUACUACAAACUCCAAAGACUUCUGGGAUAUUUUAAUUAUUUUAUUAUGAUCUAUUAUAAUUAUUAUUGUGUUUAUUAUUACGGGGGUUCACCAUAGGCGAGUUUCACUUAGGUUAGCCUAGCUUAGUUUAGAACACUGCAAAUCAAUUCCUGAUUCAUGUUCUUUACAAUUCCGGGUGACGGUAUUACAAUCUCUAAUUGUACAACUUUAAAUGUUUAGAAAUGACCUCUGCCAAGGACAUCAUGUUACAUUAAUGCCAACAUGCCAACGUUUAAUUGCUGUGUCAGCAUCUGCGGGAUUCCUUUCGCCUGUCAACAUAAUGACUCAGCCGCCUUCACGCUGUUUGCUUGGUCGCAGGGGGCAGUUGUUUCACUUAAUUGUUUCCUGAACUUUGCCCUUGAGUCUUUUUCCGUCUCAUAGAUUGAUGGCGGGCACUCCAUGGCAAACGUGGAUUUGGGGAAGAGCAGAAGGAGGCGGGGGGGUGGGGGGGGGGGCUCAUUUGUGUGCGUGCCUGCGUUUUGGCCAGGUGGUGAUAACAAAUGUACCCCACUUGUGACACCAUCAUCAAGUCCGUGCUUGAUGCUCAGAAUUAAAAUCAUUGCCCAAGCAUUCCAGAGAAAUGGUUCCCACUGCUGAGAGUGGCCGUUGCCAGACGUUCCUCAAUUAGCAUUCUGACUUGGCUCCCAGUUAGCCUCAUUAUGUUCCCCCCACCCUCAAUCGCAUACAAAGCAAAUUAAGGCAAUGAACAGGGCCUCACAGUCCCUUUUUUUCAUGGCAAAUCUUCAAAAUGGUCCUUAAACUUUGACACCAUGCUCUGCCCGUAUUAGAUCCCUUCGUAAAAACACCCUUCACACUGGACACUUUGGGACGGUGCUAAUUCCCAAGCAGUUUAUCAAACUAGGCUAUGAGCUCCGGGAUUUGCAACGAAUGGCUUUUUCACACAAAAAUGGUUGACUUCUUAUGCACCGCGACACAUUUUUGUUUACCGAAUUUUGUGUCGAUCAAGCCAACCAGUGUCGGGUACCGUUUUUUCCCUCACUUUCCAGGGAGUACUACAGAGGGAAUUCGACCAAGAUGGCUGCCACAAAACAAAAUGUCUUGACUUCCUGUUCAAUUCCAGGCAUGUGUCAUUGACACUUUUUUGCACAUCCUGUUAUAAUACACAAUUCUUUGUUAAUCAGUCAAACUGCUGUUCUGAGCUAUUUUCCCCCCCCAACUGUCCAGGGAGCAGGGGAAUCAGCAGGUUGCUGCUGCAUUGUCCCGCUUUUUAAUGGAGACUGAGAAGUAGCAGGGAACCUCUGUGGAGAGACUAAAGUGAGGGGAGAUUCAUCCCUCCGACACUCGCUCCAGGCAGUGGGACCACCCUAACGAGGGGUUGAGAUUGUGUAAGGAAGAGGUGGGCACUGAGAUGUGAUUUAAGGGGGAUGAAUAUAGACCCGCAGGGACAUUGGGAACGCGGGGAGAUGGGAAAAAGACAAGAUGCCCGAGUGAUGGGAAAUGAAACCAUGAAAAUGACAAAAGUGUGUGUGUGUGUGUGUGUACGCGUGUCGCAUCUCUGAUUUUGCCAUUAUUCUCCAGUCCAUCCUGGAAGUGUGUCAUCCAUUUUGUUGGUGGCGCUUAGCUUAGCAAUGUUAAGCUAAUACUUGUCCUAUUCACCCUGGAAAGCAUCUCAAGUAUUUAGUCAUGUUGUUAUUUAAUUCAAAGAAGAUGCAAUAACUAUAUUUAUUACGUUGAGUGGGAGAUCACAAGUGCAUUUACCGCUUCCUAAGGUUGAAAUUACCCAAUAGAUUCAGAAUGGGUUUUGACAUAAAUUCUCAAUCUACAAUACAUACAUUAGUCUGACAACAAUGCAUAGUUUGUGUGCGUCCUUAUGGAAAACCACACGUUAAUGUCUGCAAGACGCAGUCUUAUUCUCAUAUUUUUUCCCCCACUUAAUGUGUGUGGGUAAAAUGUAUAUCGCCACAAUCCAAAAUGAAAGCUGUAAUAAUUGUAAAUCGAUGCCAGCUGUCUUUGUAUCAACUUGUCAUAUUUGAUCAUGUUAAAUUUAAGCAUGUUCAUCGUACCACGUGAGCAGAAAGCCGAUGAUUGGACUACUUAUGCAACAGCACCCCCUGGUGGAAACAAAUGUUCAUGCUCAUCAUCUUGAUGAGCCAUAACAGCUGAGCUCCAGGCUCCUCCGCACCUCCGCCAGGUCCUCCCGGAUCUCCUCCAGCACGUCCAGCUUGGAGAGCUUCCUCUCAAUGGACGAGAGCAGAAGUUCUGCCGACCGUGGGGCG